rnacentral:rRNA from 1 species
GGGAAAUUCUACCUCGUUGAUGCGGGGUAUGCUGUGAGACCUGGUUUUCUUCCACCAUACCGUGCCACAAUGUACCACUUGAAGGAGUAUGGGCGAGGGAAUCACCCUCAAAAUGAGAAAGAGUUGUUCAACUUAAGACACUCUUCUUUGAGGACAUCAGUCGAAAGGGCUUUUGGCGCGUACAAAAAUCGGUGGAAGUUUGUUUACAAUAAGCCAUUUCAUCCUUUCAAGACCCAAGUAAAAGUAGUCAUUGCUUGUGCAAUUCUCCACAACUGGGUACUUCAAUUUGGUGAGGAUGAAUAUUUCCCUCCGGAGGAAACUUGGGACCCGGAACCCACCGACGAAGAUCACAAUGAUAUAGUCCAUGACAAUAAUUCUUGGGCUCAUAAGAGAGACUAG